AAAAAAUUUAAAUUUUAUUAAAAGUAAAAAUACUUUUAUACAAUAGAAAGACGACAAGACCCUAUUGAACUUAACUAAAGUUUAACUGGGGAAGUUAAUUAAUUAUAAUUUUAAUUAAKAUUAUUUUAUAAUAAUCCAAUAUUAUUGAUAAUCAAGUUACCAUAGGGAUAACAGCGCAAUUAUAUUUAAGGACUUUCACCUAAAAAAUAGAUUACRACCUCGAUGUUGAAUUAAUAACCUAAUUAAAGUAAAGCUUAAAAUAGGAAGUCUGUUYGACUUUUAAAUAAUUACAUGAUUUGAGUUCAGACCGGCAUAAGCCAGGUCGGUUUCUAUCUUYUAAAAAAUUAUUUGUAGUACGAAAGGACCUAAACAAUUARUAAUAUUAUUUAUAUUAGCAAAUUAAUGCAUUAGAAUUAGAAUCUAAUAAAACUAUA
rnacentral:rRNA from 1 species